GCCACUGACUACACGAUGAUGGGAGGAUGGACGCCGCCUUCAGGAGCUGGAGGAGCAGAAGACGUGAACAAAGGUGGAGGGUGGUUUGGGCAGGGGUGGGUGAAGAGGUGCGUGGGGCGGGCUUUGAGAGUUAAAGGGGACCCACAGAAGGUUUCAAUCCAUGUGCUAUCAGCUCUUUGCUGGGGACCAUUGCCUCUUGGGCCUGAUGGGAAGCAGGGUGGAAAGGCCUAUGAGGGAACCAAGUGGCAGAAGCGUUCAACCAGGUGUGCUGUGAAGGUGCUGUCCAGGCAGAGGCAGAAAUCAUGGUCAGAUCCCGAGGAAGAGCAAGACGAGUUCAACUGGUGAGUCUUAGAAGUCAGCCAGAACCCCCUCUGAUUCUGGUUCCCAAGCUCAAGAGGGACCAAGCCCAAACCCAAGCCCAAGAUGGGGAAGUCGUGCGCAUCAUCGGUCAGAGGCUCAGGAAGAAGCCAUAUUUGAAAGUGAUUCUGGUGCCUCCUUUUCCUUCCUCCCCUGAUUCCAUGAAGCCCUUUUUUAAAUAUUGCAAAGAAUGUGGGUAUUUCCACCAGCAGUGUAAAAGUGUUCCUAUUUCUCCACAUCCUCUCCAGCACCUGUUGUUUUCUGACUUUUUAAUGAUUGCCAUUCUAACUGGUAUGAGAUGGUAUCUGAUUGUGGUUUUGAUUUGC
rnacentral:lncRNA from 1 species